ACUCAGGUGUUGUUGGGUAGGGGAGCGUUCUGUAAGCCUGCGAAGGUGGCCUGUGAGGGUUGCUGGAGGUAUCAGAAGUGCGAAUGCUGACAUAAGUAACGAUAAAGCGGGUGAAAAGCCCGCUCGCCGGAAGACCAAGGGUUCCUGUCCAACGUUAAUCGGGGCAGGGUGAGUCGACCCCUAAGGCGAGGCCGAAAGGCGUAGUCGAUGGGAAACGGGUUAAUAUUCCCGUACUUGGUGUUACUGCGAAGGGGGGACGGAGAAGGCUAUGUUGGCCGGGCGACGGUUGUCCCGGUUUAAGCGUGUAGGUGUGUGUUCCAGGUAAAUCCGGUUCACUUUAACACUGAGGCGUGAUGACGAGGCACUACGGUGCUGAAGCAACAAAUGCCCUGCUUCCAGGAAAAGCCUCUAAGCAUCAGGUAACAUCAAAUCGUACCCCAAACCGACACAGGUGGUCAGGUAGAGAAUACCAAGGCGCUUGAGAGAACUCGGGUGAAGGAACUAGGCAAAAUGGUGCCGUAACUUCGGGAGAAGGCACGCUGACAUGUAGGUGAAGUGAUUUACUCAUGGAGCUGAAGUCAGUCGAAGAUACCAGCUGGCUGCAACUGUUUAUUAAAAACACAGCACUGUGCAAACACGAAAGUGGACGUAUACGGUGUGACGCCUGCCCGGUGCCGGAAGGUUAAUUGAUGGGGUCAGCGCAAGCGAAGCUCCUGAUCGAAGCCCCGGUAAACGGCGGCCGUAACUAUAACGGUCCUAAGGUAGCGAAAUUCCUUGUCGGGUAAGUUCCGACCUGCACGAAUGGCGUAAUGAUGGCCAGGCUGUCUCCACCCGAGACUCAGUGAAAUUGAACUCGCUGUGAAGAUGCAGUGUACCCGCGGCAAGACGGAAAGACCCCGUGAACCUUUACUAUAGCUUGACACUGAACAUUGAGCCUUGAUGUGUAGGAUAGGUGGGAGGCUUUGAAGUGUGGACGCCAGUCUGCAUGGAGCCGACCUUGAAAUACCACCCUUUAAUGUUUGAUGUUCUAACGUGGACCCGUGAUCCGGGUUGCGGACAGUGUCUGGUGGGUAGUUUGACUGGGGCGGUCUCCUCCUAAAGAGUAACGGAGGAGCACGAAGGUUGGCUAAUCCUGGUCGGACAUCAGGAGGUUAGUGCAAUGGCAUAAGCCAGCUUGACUGCGAGCGUGACGGCGCGAGCAGGUGCGAAAGCAGGUCAUAGUGAUCCGGUGGUUCUGAAUGGAAGGGCCAUCGCUCAACGGAUAAAAGGUACUCCGGGGAUAACAGGCUGAUACCGCCCAAGAGUUCAUAUCGACGGCGGUGUUUGGCACCUCGAUGUCGGCUCAUCACAUCCUGGGGCUGAAGUAGGUCCCAAGGGUAUGGCUGUUCGCCAUUUAAAGUGGUACGCGAGCUGGGUUUAGAACGUCGUGAGACAGUUCGGUCCCUAUCUGCCGUGGGCGCUGGAGAACUGAGGGGGGCUGCUCCUAGUACGAGAGGACCGGAGUGGACGCAUCACUGGUGUUCGGGUUGUCAUGCCAAUGGCACUGCCCGGUAGCUAAAUGCGGAAGAGAUAAGUGCUGAAAGCAUCUAAGCACGAAACUUGCCCCGAGAUGAGUUCUCCCUGAGACUUUAAGUCUCCUGAAGGAACGUUGAAGACGACGACGUUGAUAGGCCGGGUGUGUAAGCGCAGCGAUGCGUUGAGCUAACCGGUACUAAUGAACCGUGAGGCUUAACCUU
rnacentral:rRNA from 1 species